AUUGAAGCACUGAGAAUAACGAUUUCAGACCGCAUAGCCUUCCAAGUGGCAAAGUCUGGACUUGAACCAGGUGUCCUGACCUACAACCUGGCGGAGAGAGGGACAACUGCCAUGGCGCCUUGCCUGUGGCUGCAUGCAGUGCUGACUUACCUCAGCACUUCCAGGAAGCCCCUUUCUCACCCUGGCCCAGGCUUGUUCUUGGGGAAGAUUCAGUGACUAGCUCCAGCCUGGUCUCAGCUGUGCCACUGAGGACAACAGGAUAUUGAAGUCUGGGCUUUUUAGGUCUUACUGAAGGGGCUCUUGAGUGCUGAGAGUUCUACAAGAGGAAGAAAGUACCUGGGCGCUAAGGAAACUGACAUGGAACACCUGCCUUCUACCAGGCAGUGCUGCUGGAAACACCAUGGGCAUUUUCUCACUUCAUUUUCAUAAUGACCUAGAAGGAAAACAUUCUCUUUCUCCUGAGAUGAGGCGGGCUCGACCUUUAUGGAGCAAUCCUUCAAGUGUCUGUCUCUUAGUCAUUGGUCUUUUGUUCUUUAUUCCGGAGACAUGUGUGGCUUUCCUGAGCAAAAGACGUGAAGGAAUCGUGAAACGCAGCAGGCUAGAGCGCAAAUCACGGGCUGCCACAGAACAUGUGAAAAGGGAAAGGAGCGAGGUUGCUGCUCUUCUGGUGGGACCAGCUCCGGGUACUGUCAAAACAAGCCUGAGAUAAAGGUAGGCGAGGGGCU
rnacentral:lncRNA from 13 species